rnacentral:misc_RNA from 1 species
CCCCCCACCCUCGCCCCGAAAGGGUCGCGGGCAGAGCGGGGGGGCGGAAGUUGGCUUCCCGUGCUCCGCGCGGCCAGCCUAAAAAACGGUUCCCUCGCCGCGGACGUCGCGACAAGUGGUGGUCGUCGAGAUUGAACGCGAGUCGUCGGCAAGCCGCGUCGAGGAGAGCGCUUGGACCCUGUGCAUGCGAGUCCCUCGUCGAGGGACGAUCGGCACGACCAGCGACCCCA